GUCACUGCUAUUGGGAUUCGACUAAGCCAUGCGAGUCGAGAGGGUUCGGCCCUCGGCAGACUGCUCAGUAACACGUGGAUAAUCCGCCCUUAGGUGGAGGAUAACCUUGGGAAACUGAGAAUAAUACUCCAUAGAUCUAAGAUGUUGGAAUGCACUUAGAUUAAAAGCUCCGGCGCCUAAGGAUGAGUCUGCGGACUAUCAGGUUGUAGUCAGGGUAAGGACCUGACUAGCCUACAACGGAUACGGGUUGUGAGAGCAAUAACCCGGAGACGAUAUCUGAGACACGAUAUCGGGCCCUACGGGGCGCAGCAGGCGCGAAACCUUCACAAUGUGCGAAAGCGCGAUGAGGGAAUCCCAAGUGCUUGCACUUAAGUGUAAGCUGUUUCUUUGUUUAAAACGCAGAGAGAGGAAGGGCUGGGUAAGACGGGUGCCAGCCGCCGCGGUAAUACCUGCAGCUCAAGUGGUGACCGCUAUUAUUGGGCCUAAAACGUUCGUAGCCGGCUGAGUAAAUGCUUGGGUAAAUCGUGCCGCUUAACGGUACGAAUUCCGGGUAGACUGCUCAGCUUGAGACCGGGAGAAGCUAGAGGUACUCCUGGGGUAGAGGUGAAAUUCUGUAAUCCUGGGGGGACCACCAGUGGCGAAGGUGUCUAGCUAGAACGGGUCUGACGGUGAGGGACGAAACCCU
rnacentral:rRNA from 1 species